rnacentral:rRNA from 1 species
AUGGCGUCGCCGCCGCCGGAGGUCGCCGUGCCGGUUGACGAGGAGGACCGGGAGACGGAGGGAGAGGAUAUCUGCGCGUUCGACAUACCCGGCAAGAACGCCCCGCGCGAUCGCCUGCGCCGGUGGAGGCAAAUUGCUCUCGUGCUCAACGCUUCACGUCGUUUUAGAUAUACUCUAGAUCUCGCGAGGGAUGAAGAGAGAGAAAACUUGAGAAGAAUUAUACGAGCUCAUGCACAAGUUAUACGGGCAGUAUUCCUUUUCAAAAACGCUGGUCAAAAGGCGCUACAAGAAUCUUACGAUGGUACAAAAUUUGAGUCACUCUCUCAGAGAUUUCCAAUUGAUCUGGAAAAGCUUGUAAUGUUGAACAGAGACCAUGAGGCAAUUAUGCUUCAGGAGGUUGGAGGGGUCAGUGGGCUUUCGGAUUUACUAAAGAGUAAUUUAGACAGAGGAGUUAGCUCAAAUGAGGACGAGCUGUUGCAGAGAAGAGACAUUUUCGGGGCAAACACCUAUCCGCGCAAGAAAAGAAAAAGCAUAUGGCGCUUUGUAUUUGAAGCUUGUCAGGAUUUAACUCUUGUGAUUCUAAUGGUAGCUGCUGCUAUAUCAUUAUCAUUGGGCAUGGCAACAGAGGGUGUAAAAGAUGGAUGGUAUGAUGGUGGAAGCAUAUUCUUUGCUGUUUUUCUUGUGAUAUUUGUUACAGCAACCAGUGAUUAUAGACAAUCUCUUCAGUUUCAACAUCUGAACGAGGAGAAACAAAACAUACAAGUUGAGGUUAUCAGAGGUGGUAAGAGAGUAGGAGCUUCAAUAUUUGACCUUGUGGUUGGCGAUGUUGUUCCCCUCAAAAUUGGUGAUCAAGUCCCUGCAGAUGGUGUCCUGAUAUCUGGUCAUUCUCUUGCAAUAGACGAAUCAAGUAUGACGGGAGAGUCCAAAAUUGUUCAUAAGGACCAGAAGGCACCUAUGUUGAUGUCCGGUUGCAAGGUCGCAGAUGGCUAUGGCUCUAUGUUGGUAACAGGCGUGGGUACUAAUACUGAAUGGGGUACGUUGAUGGCCAAUCUUUCAGAAGAUAUUGGUGAAGAAACCCCGUUGCAGGUGCGCUUGAAUGGUGUCGCUACUUUAAUUGGUAUCGUGGGUUUAUCAGUUGCUGGUGUUGUCCUUGUCGUACUUUGGAUAAGAUAUUUUACCGGGCAUAGCAAUAAUCCAGAUGGAACUACUGCAUUUGUGGCUGGGACUACUGGUGCAAAACAGGGAUUUAUGGGGGCAAUCAGUAUUUUUACAGUUGCUGUAACUAUUGUGGUUGUUGCUGUGCCUGAAGGACUCCCUUUAGCAGUAACAUUGACCCUUGCAUAUUCAAUGCGAAAGAUGAUGCGAGACAAGGCUCUGGUAAUGCAUACAAAGAGAUUUACAAAGAAAAACCUUUACUCCAGUAUAAAUCUGUGUUUUUGGUUUCGCAUACAGGUGAGACGACUUUCAUCUUGCGAAACAAUGGGGUCGGCGACCACGAUUUGCAGUGACAAGACUGGAACUCUUACCUUGAAUAAGAUGACAGUUGUGGAAGCAUAUUUGAGUGGGACGAAGUUGAAUCCUUGUGAUAAUACUGGGAUGAUGUUUAGCAGUGUGGCAUCUCUACUUGUUGAAGGAAUUGCACAAAACACAGCAGGUGCUGUGUUUUCACCAGAGGAUGGAGGAGCUGCUGAAGUUGCUGGCUCACCAACUGAAAAAGCAAUUCUUUCUUGGGGUCUUGAGAUUGGGAUGAAUUUCACCGAUGUGAGGUCAAAAUCUUCAGUUCUUCGCGUUCUCCCAUUCAACUCAGUGAAGAAACGUGGUGGCGUUGCAGUGCAGUCAGAUGCUUAUGUACACAUCCACUGGAAAGGUGCUGCUGAGCUAGUAUUAGCAUCUUGCAAAAGCUGGUUUUCUGUUGAUGGUUCAGUUCAUCCAAUGAGUUCUGACAAGUAUAACGAAUUGAAGAGAUUCAUUGACGAUAUGUCAAUGAGUUCACUGCGCUGUAUUGCUUUUGCAUAUUGCACCUGCGAGCUCUCAAUGGUUCCUAGGGAGGAUCUCGAUAAGUGGCAGUUGCCUGAGGAAAAUCUGACUCUUCUUGGAAUGGUCGGGAUAAAGGAUCCCUGUCGCCCAGGAGUAAGGGACGCUGUACAAUUAUGCAGUGCUGCUGGUGUGAAGGUACGGAUGGUCACUGGAGAUAAUGUUGAAACAGCUAAGGCCAUUGCUUUCGAAUGUGGAAUACUAAAUGCAAAGGAUGCUGCUUCAGAGACAAUAAUAAUAGAAGGGAAGGUGUUCCGUGAAAUGUCUGAAACUGCACGAGAAGAAGUUGCUGACAAGAUUACAGUAAUGGCGCGGUCUUCUCCAAACGACAAACUUUUGCUUGUGCAAGCUUUGAAAAGAAAAGGCCAUGUAGUAGCUGUAACCGGUGAUGGCACUAACGAUGCCCCAGCAUUACAUGAGGCUGAUAUCGGUCUUUCAAUGGGCAUCUCGGGAACAGAAGUUGCUAAAGAAAGCUCAGACAUUAUAAUCUUAGAUGAUGACUUCACAUCCGUUGUCAAGGUUGUUCGUUGGGGACGUUCUGUCUACGCAAAUAUUCAGAAAUUUAUCCAGUUCCAGCUGACUGUUAAUGUCGCUGCCCUGGUAAUAAAUGUGGUUGCUGCCGUGUCCUCUGGUGCGGUUCCUCUGAAUGCAGUUGAGCUUCUUUGGGUGAACCUUAUCAUGGACACACUGGGAGCCCUUGCAUUAGCAACUGAACCACCAACAGAUAACCUAAUGAAGAGACAUCCUGUUGGCAGAAGGGAACCCCUUGUUACAAACAUUAUGUGGAGAAACCUGUUUAUCCAGGCUCUUUAUCAGAUAACAGUUCUUCUAGUCUUCAAUUUUGAUGGCAAAAGGAUUUUCCAUUUGCAUAAUGAAAGUCGAGAGUGCGCUGACAAAAUGAAGAACACCUUUGUCUUCAAUGCAUUUGUCUUCUGCCAAAUCUUCAAUGAGUUCAAUGCUCGCAAGCCUGAGGAGAAGAAUGUCUUGAGAGGAGUCACGAGCAACCGCCUUUUCAUGGGUAUAGUGGGUAUAACAACCGUACUUCAGAUCUUGAUAAUUGAAUUUCUCGGGAAGUUCUUCGGAACUGUUAGGCUCGGUUGGAAGCUAUGGCUGCUAUCAGUUGCAAUUGGUGCAGUCAGCUGGCCCCUCGCGUAUGUUGGCAAGUCCAUUCCUGUUCCGGCCAGACCUUUCCAGGAUUACUUGAAGCACUGUUGUGCCUGGAGAAGGCCACGCCGCCGCGAUGAAGAGCAGGGCGGCAAGAGCUGA